GAAAUGCGAUAAGUAAUGUGAAUUGCAGAAUUCAGUGAAUCAUCGAAUCUUUGAACGCACAUUGCGCCCGCCAGUAUUCUGGCGGGCAUGCCUGUCCGAGCGUCAUUUCAACCAUCAAGCCCCCGGGCUUGUGUUGGGGACCUGCGGCUGCCCGCAGGCCCUGAAAACCAGUGGCGGCUCGCUGUCACACCGAGCGUAGUAGCAAUCACCUCGCUCAGGGCGUGCUGCGGGUUCCGGCCGUUAAACAGCCUUACAAAACCCAAGGUUGACCUCGGAUCAGGUAGGAAGACCCGCUGAACUUAAGC
rnacentral:misc_RNA from 1 species